rnacentral:rRNA from 1 species
AGCAGGCGCGUAAAUUGCCCGAAUCCUGACACAGGGAGGUAGUGACAAGAAAUAACGAUACAGGGCUACAUCUAGUCUUGUAAUUGGAAUGAGUACAAUUUACAUCUCUUAACGAUGAUCAAUUGGAGGGCAAGUCUGGUGCCAGCAGCCGCGGUAAUUCCAGCUCCAAUAGCGUAUAUUAAAGUUGUUGCAGUUAGAACGCUCGUAGUCGGAUUUCGGGGCGUUCCGACCGGUCUGCCGAUGGGUAUGCACUGGCCGGAGUGUCCUUUUUGCCGGAGACCGUGCCUACUCUUAACUGAGCGGGGGCGGGAGACGGCACUUUUACUUUGAAAAAAUCAGAGUGUUUCAAGCAGGCAGCUCGCUCUCGCAUGGAUUAACAUGGGAUAAUGAAAUAGGACUUUGGUGCUAUUUUGUUGGUUUCGAACACCGAAGUAAUGAUGAGAAGGGACAGUCAGGGGCACUCGUAUUCCGCAGAGAGAGGUGAAAUUCUCAGACCCGCGGAAGACGAACCACUGCGAAAGCAUUUGCCAGGGAUGUCUUCACUGAUCAAGAACGAAAGUUAGGGGAUCGAAGAUGAUCAGAUACCGUCGUAGUCUUAACCAUAAACCAUGCCGACUAGGGAUUGGAGGAUGUUCACUGAUUGACUCCUUCAGCACCUUACGGGAAACUAAAGUCUUUGGGUUCCGGGGGGAGUAUGGUCGCAAGGCUGAAACUUAAAGGAAUUGACGGAAGGGCACCACCAGGUGUGGAGCCUGCGGCUUAAUUUGACUCAACACGGGGAAACUUACCAGGUCCAGACAUUGUGAGGAUUGACAGAUUGAGAGCUCUUUCAUGAUUUAAUGGGUGGUGGUGCAUGGCCGUUCUUAGUUGGUGGAGUGAUUUGUCUGGUUAAUUCCGCUAACGAACGAGACCUUAGCCUGCUAAAUAGCGACGCGAACUCUUUGUUGGCGGUCCACUUCUUAGAGGGACAACUUGUCUUCAACAAGUGGAAGUUUGAGGCAAUAACAGGUCCGUGAUGCCCUUAGAUGUUCUGGGCCGCACGCGCGCUACACUGAUGCACUCAACGAGUCUCCACCUUGACCGAGAGGUCCGGGAAACCUUCGAACUUGCAUCGUGAUGGGGAUAGAUUAUUGCAACUAUUAAUCUUCAACGAGGAAUACCUAGUAGGCGCAUGUCAUCAGCGUGCGUUGAAAAGGC